rnacentral:misc_RNA from 1 species
CUGAAUGUCAACAGGAGCUGUUGCUGGCCUUCACAUGGAGGCAUGUGCACGCUCCGUUACACAUCCACUCACACCUGUGCACCCUCUGUAGUUCUGUGGUCGGGGAGGUUCGCCUCCUUGGCUGUGGCUCUACGUUUUUUACACACACUCUGUAUAAGUAUCAUGGAAUGUAUAUGGCGUAUAACGCAAUAAAAUA